AACACUUUUAUAUACAUAUAUAUAUGGAAAAACUUUAAAAACUCCACGUGGUUUCACAUUUUUUCAUUUUAGUGCCAUGUGGUUUAAAGUGUAUCAAAUUAGUAUUUUGUGGUUUCUCACUUUAUUACUUUAGUACUCUGUGAUUUAAAGUGUAUCAAGUUAGUACUUUGUGGUUUUAUUUUUGUAUCAAGUUAGUAUCCUGUGAUUUUAUUUUUGUAUCAAGUUAGUAUCCUGUGGUUUUUAAACCACAGGGUACUGAAGUGAUAAAGUGCGAAACCACAAGGCAAAACCACAGGGUACUAACUUGAUACACUUAAAACCACAGGGUACUAACUUUAUACACUUUAAACCGGGUGCUAAAGUGAGAAAAAGUGAAACCACAAGAGGGGUAUUUGAAGUUUU
rnacentral:lncRNA from 1 species